rnacentral:rRNA from 1 species
UUAGGAUUGACAGAUUGAGAGUUCUUUCUUGAUUGGUCUAGUGGUGGUGCAUGGCCGUUCUUAGUUGGUGGAGUGAUUUGUCUGGUUAAUUCCGUUAACGAACGAGACCUUAACCUGCUAACUAGUACUUGGAUCUCUAAUCUAAGGUACUUCUUAGAGGGACUAUGUGUGGUAAGCACAUGGAAGUUUGAGGCAAUAACAGGUCUGUGAUGCCCUUAGAUGUCCUGAGCUGCACGCGUACUACAAUGACACUUUCAGCAAGUUUUUCCUGAUCCGAAAGGAUUUGGGUAAUCUUUUUAGUGAGUGUCGUGCUUGGGAUAGUUCUUUGUAAUUGUGGAACUUGAACUAGGAAUUCCUAGUAAGCGCGAUUCAACAUAUCGUGCUGAUUACGUCCCUGCAAAAUGUACACACCGCCCGUCGCUUUUACCGAUUGAGUGUUCAGGUGAGUCUUCUUGAUAGUGUCAAAACUAAAAAUUAAACAAAUCUUAGCACUUAGAGGAAAAAGAAGUCGUAACAAGGUUUCCGUAGGUGAACCUGCGGA